GACGAACGCUGGCGGCGUGCCUAAUACAUGCAAGUAGAACGCUGAAGGAGGAGCUUGCUUCUCUGGAUGAGUUGCGAACGGGUGAGUAACGCGUAGGUAACCUGCCUGGUAGCGGGGGAUAACUAUUGGAAACGAUAGCUAAUACCGCAUAAGAGUAGAUGUUGCAUGACAUUUGCUUAAAAGGUGCAAUUGCAUCACUACCAGAUGGACCUGCGUUGUAUUAGCUAGUUGGUGAGGUAACGGCUCACCAAGGCAACGAUACAUAGCCGACCUGAGAGGGUGCUCGGCCACACUGGGACUGAGACACGGCCCAGACUCCUACGGGAGGCAGCAGUAGGGAAUCUUCGGCAAUGGACGGAAGUCUGACCGAGCAACGCCGCGUGAGUGAAGAAGGUUUUCGGAUCGUAAAGCUCUGUUGUAAGAGAAGAACGAGUGUGAGAGUGGAAAGUUCACACUGUGACGGUAUCUUACCAGAAAGGGACGGCUAACUACGUG
rnacentral:rRNA from 1 species